GCGGCGGCGUGCCUAACACAUGCAAGUCGUACGAGAAAGUCGGCUUCGGCCGAUGAGUACAGUGGCGCACGGGUGAGUAACGCGUGGGUAAUCUGCCCCCCGGUCAGGAAUAACCCGCCGAAAGGCGGGCUAAUACCCGAUAACACUGACGCUCUGCGGAGUGUCUUUCAAAGAAGGCCUCUGUUUACAAGCUUUCGCCGGAGGAUGAGCCCGCGUACCAUUAGCUAGUUGGCAGGGUAAUGGCCUACCAAGGCAUCGACGGGUAGCCGGUCUGAGAGGAUGGUCGGCCACAUCGGAACUGAGACACUGUCCGGACUCCUACGGGAGGCAGCAGUGGGGAAUUUUGGACAAUGGGGGAAACCCUGAUCCAGCCAUCCCGCGUGCAGGAGGAAGUCCUUCGGGAUGUAAACUGCUGUCAGGGGUCAACAAGCAAAGGGACCUAAUACGUCCUGGCGUUGAGCAGUCUCAGAAAAAGCCUCGGCUAACUCUGUGCCAGCAGCCGCGGUAAGACAGAGGAGGCAAGCGUUGUUCGGGAUCAUUGGGCUUAAAGAGGGUGUAGGCGGUCUGGAAAGUGUCUUGUGAAAUCCCACGGCUCAACCGUGGAACCGCUCGGCAAACUUCCAGACUUGAGGUCAGUAGAGGUGCCUGGAACUCUAGGUGGAGCGGUGAAAUGCGUAGAUAUCUAGAGGAACGCCUGAGGCGAAAGCGGGUCACUGGGCCGAUUCUGACGCUGAGAUCCGAAAGCGUGGGGAGCAAACAGGAUUAGAUACCCUGGUAGUCCACGCCGUAAACGAUGCACACUAGGCGCCGGAGCCUCUGACGGUCUCGGCGCCGAAGCAAAAGUGCUAAGUGUGCCGUCUGGGGAGUACGGCCGCAAGGCUAAAACUCAAAGGAAUUGACGGGGGCUCACACAAGCGGUGGAGCAUGUGGCUUAAUUCGAAGCAACGCGAAGAACCUUACCCGGGUUUGACAUGCUUGGAUGCCUCCGGGGGAUAACCUCGGUAGGCUGCCUUUCGGGGUGAAACUUGCACAGGUGUUGCACGGCUGUCGUCAGCUCGUGCUGUGAAGUGUCGGGUUAAGUCCCUUAACGAGCGAAACCCCUGUCGUUAGUUGCCAGCGCGUUAUGGCGGGGACUCUAGCGAGACUGCCGGCGUUAAGCCGGAGGAAGGUGGGGAUGACGUCAAGUCAUCGUGGCCCUUAUGCCCGGGGAUGCACACGUGCUACAAUGGCGCGUACAGAGCGACGCAAGACCGCGAGGUGGAGCAAAUCGCAAAAAGCGCGCCCCAGUUGGGAUUGGAGUCUGUAAUUCGACUCCAUGAACGUGGAAUCGCUAGUAAUCGCGUAUCAGCUACGACGCGGUGAAUGUGUUCCUGAGCCUUGUACACACCGCCCGUCAAGUCAUGGAAGCCGGGAGUGCCCGAAGUCCGUUUAGCUAACCGCAAGGAGGCGACGGCCGACGGUAAGACCGGUAACUGG
rnacentral:rRNA from 1 species